CAAUAGCGUAUAUUAAAGUUGUUGCAGUUAAAAAGCUCGUAGUUGGAUUUCUGGUGGGAGCGAUCGGUCUGGCGCUUAGCGCGAGUACUUGCAUUGUCUCCGGCCAUCCUUGGGGAGAGUCUGUCUGGCAUUAGGUUGUCGGGCAGAGGAUCCUCAUCGUUUACUGUGAAAAAAUUAGAGUGUUCAAAGCAGGCUUAUGCCGUUGAAUAUAUUAGCAUGGAAUAAUAAGAUAGGACUUUGGUACUAUUUUGUUGGUUUGCGCACCAAAGUAAUGAUUAAUAGGGACAGUUGGGGGUAUUCGUAUUCCGUUGUCAGAGGUGAAAUUCUUGGAUUUACGGAAGACGAACUACUGCGAAAGCAUUUACCAAGGAUGUUUUCAUUAA
rnacentral:rRNA from 1 species